ensembl:lncRNA ASB16-AS1 ASB16 antisense RNA 1
GCUUCGCGACUGCGGAAGGUUGCCCGGGCUGGCGCCGCUGGGCAGAGCCGGUGCGACGUUUCCCUUUCCAGCUUUGUUCUUCCGGCCCUGCUGUCUGCCUCCCCGGCUGAUUGGAUUCGUUACUGCUUUGCAACGCGCACCUAACUCCAGACGGGGUCUCACUCUGUCGCCCAGGCUGGAGUGCAGUGGCACAAUCUCAGCUUGCUGUGACCUCAGCUCUCUGCGACCUCUGCUUGCUGGACUCAAGCGAUCCUCCCACCACCUCAGCCUCCUGAGUAGCUGGAACCAUCAUAUGCACCAGCACGCCUGGCUAAGUAUUUUGUGUUUUCUUUUUUUUUAAUUUCUAGAGACAGGAUCUUGUUAUGUUGCCCAGGCUGGUCUCAAACUCUAGGACUCAAGUGAUCUGCCCCCCUUGGCCUCCCAAAGUGCUGGGAUUACAGGCAUGAGCCACCGUGCCUGGCCUUUUUUUUUCCCCAGCCUCAGCAACAUAGUGAGACCCGUUGUGGUGCAUGCCUGUAGUACCACCUACUUGGGAGGAGUAUUGCUUGAGUGUGGAAGGUUGAGGCUGCUAUGAGCAGUGAUCGCGCCACCACACUCCAACCUAGGCAACACAGAGAGCCCCUGUCUCAAAAAAAAAUUGUUUUAGGGACAGUGUCUCACUCUUGCCCAGACUGGUCUCAAACUCCUGGGGUCCAGUGAUCCUCCUGCCUCAGCCUCCCUUGUAGGUGGGACUACACGGCACCUGGCCCUUGUGUUGUUCUUGUAACAGUUGCUCAAUGCAGAAAACUUGGAAACCACAGAACAGCACCAGGGGGUGGGGAAUGAACAUGGAAUGAUGGGGACCUCUGUCCCAUUUAAGUCAAACAACAUCCAUACUUUGGUUCCAUGGACUAAUCAUUUAUUUGCACUCAUAAAAACUGGCUUGCUUUGAAAAGCUUCCUCCAAAAGCUGUAUUGUGGUACUUUUGACUCUGGGACAAGAGGAAGAAGUUGGGGAAUUCGGGCAGUUGGUGGCUGGGCCCUCAGAGACUGUAUGUGGUGACCACUGUUUAAGACACCAUUCAUCACUUGGGGACGGAGGGAGCACAUAGAUGGACCCCAGGCUCAUGGAUGUUCCUCCUUCCGCAGUCAUUUACUAAAAUACCUGUUCAAGGAAUAUAGUUCCAGUCUCAGCCUAGUUGAGACAACCACAGGCACUUAAAUAAGUACCAAGGAAGCCUCUGCAGAGAUAGUGCUAUUGGAACUGAGUCCUGAGGGCCAGAUCAGCCUUGACCAGGCCAAAAAAUGUGGAAGAGUAUUCCAAGCGGUAGGAAUAACACAUGCAAACACCUGAAAGCAAAGAGGAGCAGGUCACAUCCAGCAACUGGUGACUUGUUUACUAAGGCUGGAGAUGAACCUUGGAAGGAAGAAGGGAAGUCAAGAGGCCAGAUAAUUUGGCAGAGGCUAGAGGCUCUGUUCUACUGAGUUGUUUUCUCGUUUGUUUUGUUUUGUUUUUUGAGACAGAGUUUUGCUCUUGUCACCCAGGCUGGAAUGCAAUAGCGUGGUCUUGGCUCACUGCAACCUCCGCCUCCCGGGUUCAAGCAAUUCUCCUGCCUCAGCCUCCUAAGUAGCUGGGACUACAGCUUGAGGUCCUACCUGGUGUCCUCCAUGAGAAUCAUACAAGCCCCGCUACAGACAACAGAAUUGGAAGGUCCUGAGAGCUACCAGAAGCAUCUUCAGUUUUCAUAUGAAAAACUUAAGCCCAGGAGUGAUUUGUGCAGCCAAGGACACACAGCAAGUUAGUGGCUGCACCAGAAAUAGUACUCACUGCCUCAGACAGUCCCUCCCA